UACGUAGGGCGCAAGCGUUGUCCGGAAUUAUUGGGCGUAAAGAGCUCGUAGGCGGUUGGGUAAGUCGGGUGUGAAAACUCCAGGCUCAACUUGGAGACGCCACCCGAUACUGCUCUGACUUGAGUUCGGUAGGGGAGUGGGGAAUUCCUGGUGUAGCGGUGAAAUGCGCAGAUAUCAGGAGGAACACCGGUGGCGAAGGCGCCACUCUGGGCCGAAACUGACGCUGAGGAGCGAAAGCGUGGGUAGCAAACAGG
rnacentral:rRNA from 1 species